rnacentral:rRNA from 1 species
CCUACGGGAGGCAGCAGUGAGGAAUAUUGGUCAAUGGACGCAAGUCUGAACCAGCCAUGCCGCGUGCAGGAAGAAGGCUCUAUGAGUUGUAAACUGCUUUUGUACGGGGGUAAAGUGAGAUACGCGUAUCUUUCUGAAAGUAACGUACGAAUAAGGAUCGGCUAACUCCGUGCCAGCAGCCGCGGUAAUACGGAGGAUUCAAGCGUUAUACGGAUUUAUUGGGGUUAAAGGGUGCGUAGGCGGCAGGUUAAGUCAGUGGUGAAAGUCUGCGGCUCAACCUGGGAAUUGCCAUUGAUACUGUUCGGCUAGAGUGCAGUUGCGGUAGGCGGAAUUCAUGGUGUAGCGGUGAACUGCUU